AUUCCUUGGAAGAAGCUUCAGGUUGGAGACAUUGUGAAGGUGGCAUCCCAACAGAUAUCUAGAUCUUGGGGGUUAAAGGCAUAUAUAAAGAAUUAAUACGGUGACCAGACUAUGAUAUAAAUAGACUGUCUUGAGUAUCAUAUUAGAGAAGAACUAAAUAAAACAGCACCUCGAGUGAUGGUUGUAUUUAAUCCACUUAAGGUGGUUAUAACAAAUCUGGAACCUGGCUUAGUGAUGGAUCUUGAUGCAAAGAAAUGGCCUGAUGCACAAACAGAUGAUACUUCGUCUUUCUACAAGGGGCUGGAAGCAGCAAGCCAGCAAUGGCCAUUCCCGCUCUCUUGAGGAAAAGGCAGUGAAGACUUGGAGGAAGCCAGAGGUGAACGAUGCUCGACCUUCCAUGUUGGUGAAGCAAGCCUUUCUUUGAUUCUAAUUAUUAUCCAUAUUUUAUAUAUAAUACUGAUAUUAU